GCGCCUGUAGCUCAGGGGGAGAGCGCUUGCUUGACACGCAAGAGGCCAGUGGUUCAAAACCACUCAGGCGCACCA
rnacentral:tRNA from 1 species